CUAUACUUUCACUUCUCAUGUCUCUGAUACCAUCUUACCUCUCACGCCCCGCGACCGCCAAUUUGGUCGGUUCGGGUACGUCUACAGACGCCGAACGGACAGCACCUCCUCUAUCCGCCCAAGGCUCAACUCAUCAUCAACAUGUAUAACAAUUUGCACAACGAAAAUUCAGAUAUACAUGGCUUGCACGAGGGCAAGCAACAACCAAACAAGUGAAAGUACUAUUACUAUUACAUCCACACAUGUAUCUUGAUUACAUUUAAUCAAAUAUAAGCUUACCAUAAUUCACAUUAUUUUCCCAAAUACAUAACAUGUCUCUCACCCAAAACAUAUAUCACACGUCCCUUUAAUUCAUUUAUACAUAUCCAUUUACAUGUCAUUUUCAUCAUAUACAAAAGAUGAAAGGAAAUAGGGUACAUCUAAUACACGGGUGUCCACUA
rnacentral:lncRNA from 1 species